rnacentral:rRNA from 1 species
UACGAAGGGGGCAAACGUUGUUCGGAUUUACUGGGCGUAAAGCGCAUGUAGGCGGGUCGUUAAGCCGGGGGUGAAAGCCCAGAGCUCAACUCUGGAACUGCCUUCGAUACUGGCGACCUGGAGCAGGUCAGAGGCGAGUGGAAUUGCGAGUGUAGAGGUGAAAUUCGUAGAUAUUCGCAGGAACACCAGUGGCGAAGGCGACUCGCUGGGACUUUGCUGACGCUGAGAUGCGAAAGCGUGGGGAGCAAACAGG